AUUGAACGCUGGCGGCAGGCCUAACACAUGCAAGUCGAGCGGAUGAAGGGAGCUUGCUCCUGGAUUCAGCGGCGGAUGGGUGAGUAAUGCCUAGGAAUCUGCCUGGUAGUGGGGGAUAACGUCCGGAAACGGGCGCUAAUACCGCAUACGUCCUGAGGGAGAAAGUGGGGGAUCUUAGGACCUUACGCUAUCAGAUGAGCCUAGGUCGGAUUAGCUAGUUGGUGGGGUAAAGGCCUACCAAGGCGACGAUCCGUAACUGGUCUGAGAGGAUGAUCAGUCACACUGGAACUGAAACACGGUCCAGACUCCUACGGGAGGCAGCAGUGGGGAAUAUUGGACAAUGGGCGAAAGCCUGAUCCAGCCAUGCCGCGUGUGUGAAGAAGGUCUUCGGAUUGUAAAGCACUUUAAGUUGGGAGGAAGGGCAGUAAGUUAAUACCUUGCUGUUUUGACGUUACCAACAGAAUAAGCACCGGCUAACUUCGUG
rnacentral:rRNA from 1 species